GACGAACGCUGGCGGCGUGCUUAACACAUGCAAGUCGAACGGAAAGGCCCUGCUUUUGUGGGGUGCUCGAGUGGCGAACGGGUGAGUAACACGUGAGUAACCUGCCCUUGACUUUGGGAUAACUUCAGGAAACUGGGGCUAAUACCGGAUAGGAGCUCCUGCUGCAUGGUGGGGGUUGGAAAGUUUCGGCGGUUGGGGAUGGACUCGCGGCUUAUCAGCUUGUUGGUGGGGUAGUGGCUUACCAUGGGUUUGACGGGUAGCCGGCCUGUGAGGGUGACCGGGCAGAUAGGGAUUGAUGUACGGCCGAGACUUCUACGUGAGGCAGGAGUGGGGAAUAUUGCACAGCGGGCGGAAGCCCGGUGCAGGAACGUCGCGAGCGGGAUGACGGCCUUCGGGUUGAAAACCGCUUUCGUCUGUUACGAAGCGAGAGUGACGGUAAUGGGUAGAGAAGCACCGGCUAACUACGUG
rnacentral:rRNA from 1 species